rnacentral:rRNA from 1 species
CAGCAGCCGCGGUAAUACGGAGGGGGCUAGCGUUGUUCGGAAUUACUGGGCGUAAAGCGCACGUAGGCGGCUUGGUAAGUUAGAGGUGAAAGCCUGGAGCUCAACUCCAGAAUUGCCUUUAAGACUGCCGAGCUAGCAGGUGAGAGAGGUAAGUGGAAUUCCGAGUGUAGAGGUGAAAUUCGUAGAUAUUCGGAAGAACACCAGUGGCGAAGGCGGCUUACUGGCUCAUACUGGACGCUGAGGUGCGAAAGCGUGGGGAGCAAACAGGAUUAGAUACCCGCGUAGUCCCUGUCUCUUAUAC